rnacentral:rRNA from 1 species
GGAAUUUUGGACAAUGGGCGCAAGCCUGAUCCAGCAAUGCCGCGUGAGUGAAGAAGGCCUUCGGGUUGUAAAGCUCUUUUGUCAGGGAAGAAACGGUGCUUUCUAAUACAGAGCGCUAAUGACGGUACCUGAAGAAUAAGCACCGGCUAACUACGUGCCAGCAGCCGCGGUAAUACGUAGGGUGCAAGCGUUAAUCGGAAUUACUGGGCGUAAAGCGUGCGCAGGCGGUUUUGUAAGACUGUCGUGAAAUCCCCGGGCUCAACCUGGGAAUGGCGAUGGUGACUGCAAGGCUAGAGUUUGGCAGAGGGGGGUAGAAUUCCACGUGUAGCAGUGAAAUGCGUAGAUAUGUGGAGGAACACCGAUGGCGAAGGCAGCCCCCUGGGUCAAAACUGACGCUCAUGCACGAAAGCGUGGGGAGCAAACAGGAUUAGAUACCCUGG